rnacentral:tRNA from 1 species
AAUGAGAUGCCUGAAAAAAGGGUCAUUUUGAUAGAGUGAAUAAUGUACUUUGUACUCUCAUUA